GCUGAGGUAGCCAAGCGGACCACGGCGCCAGCCUUGAGAGCUGGUCUCCCGAAAGGGGGACGGGAGUUCGAAUCUCUCCCUCAGCG
rnacentral:tRNA from 1 species